CUUGUCUUAGAUACACAAACAAGUCUGUCCUUCAUGUCAGUAUUUCCUAACUCACUGUUAGAAAUUCAUCAGUUAAUGUGAAAAAUGACCUCGUACCAAUAGCCAUGGUUCUGUUCUCUCACUCUUCCUUGAUCACCUUCAGCUAGAACGAGUAUUUCAAUGUAAAGUAUUCAUUACUGUUAAGUGCAAAAGGAAAAAGAUGAGGUUGUAA
rnacentral:lncRNA from 1 species